rnacentral:lncRNA from 1 species
CCAAUUCCGAAUCUAAGAUAGAAGAUUGAAGAAAUUCAGAGGAUAAGGUUAGGGGAAGAGGAGAUCAGAGGGGGGGUUUUUUUUGUAUCGGGGAGCUAGCUUCAAGUUUUUGCAAGGUUACUAGUUCGGUUUCAUUGGAGGUUUUUGAAGAUCAAGGGGAUUGGAGAGGAGCUUCAUGUUUCGGGUCGGAGAAGGAAAGACAGAGAAUUGGAUUUUUCUUCUUCAUAGAGUUUUGGGAAGACUGAG